GUGGAGAUUGAGAGUGGAGGACGAAAGUGUUAAGAAUCUCCCUCCCCAAAAACUCAACAAAAUCAUGGACUACAGUUUCAACAAGAGGCCAAAAGGAGUCCUGGUAACUGUGCUGAUUUGCUGACGAUCCCGCAUUUGACACACAGCGACCACCCCCCAACCUUCUCCCGCUCCACUUCGGUUGUGUAAUUUAAUAUGUGGACAUAAGUAAAGAAAACCCUGUGUGGGGGGAGCCAGUAGUGCUGUGAUCCCAGCAGAGAAGUGCAUGCCUAGCUCCGCUCAGGCCUCCUCCGUCCUCCGGCCCUGGCCCUAUCACGUCCGCUGAUCUGCUUGAUAAAGAAAAUAAUUCUCUGCUUACCUCGCUGAAUCCGGUGGCUUCCGGGUUUGAGGCCCCCUUUGUAUAGGAGGUACGUAAACGCAUUGUUUGUUGGCUUGCUUGCUUUGAGUGGGGGGAUUAUAUUUAGCAAGAGGGGUUAACCACUUUGCUUUUAGUCCUCUUACAAACUUCCGUUUCCUUAGGUGUCUACUCUCAGGAAAUCUUAAGGAGGCACGGUCCAGCUCAAGCGAGCAGUAGAAUCCGCAUCCCUUGCCUCCCCUUCCAGGCUUCUUCCUACGCCGCUUUGAGUAACCAUCGUGGAUCACUUAUGUUUGGCAGAGCCUGAGUGCCCUAGUUACCCUGGAAGGUUUGUUAACUAGUUGCGAUUUAAAGAAGCAUUCCCCCACACGAUUAAAACAAUAGGCCUUUGAAGUUUUUUCAGCUGAGAGGUAUCAACGAGUUCGAACCAUAACAUUUGAUUAAUCAACACAGAAAAUCAGUUCUAUUUAGGCCUGACAUCGAUGUUACAUCCUGACCCCAGCAGACGUGCCACAUUGUCAGUGACCCUAGAGUCUCAGGGUUUCUCAAAAUGUCAUCCCAAAGCCACCUAUAUGACGAUAAUCUGGAUGCCUGUUGAAUAUUGCAACAACCUCUACCUCGCCUCACACCUACUGAAUAAACAUUUCCAGGAGUAGAGCUUGGAAAUCCGCAUGUUAAUCAAACUUUCCAGAUUAUUCUAUGCAAACUACAGUCAGAGAGUGAAAUGUCUGUUGUUUAGGCCAAUAUUCUUUUUUCAGGAGACUGACCGUAACCAAGAGCCAGAGUAGUAUGAAUUGGUCUGAAGCUCCCCAGCUCCUUACCCUGCUGUCCAAGAUGGUGGAGGCGCCAGAGGCAGGGCAAGAAACAACCCAACUCUCUCAAAAUGAGCGUGUA
ensembl:lncRNA